UACGUAGGGGGCAAGCGUUGUCCGGAUUUAUUGGGCGUAAAGAGCGUGUAGGCGGCUUCACAGGUCCGCUGUGAAAACUCGAGGCUCAACCUCGAGAUGUCGGUGGAAACCGUGUGGCUAGAGUCCGGAAGAGGAGAGUGGAAUUCCCGGUGUAGCGGUGAAAUGCGCAGAUAUCGGGAAGAACACCCGUGGCGAAGGCGGCUCUCUGGGACGGUACUGGACGCUGAGACGCGAAAGCGUGGGGAGCGAACAGG
rnacentral:rRNA from 1 species